AUGUUUCUGAGGACUUAUUAUUGUCGAUAGUAACACGAACGUCUGAACGUUGUGCGUGCAUCGAAAUAGAUUCAUGAAUGAAAACGGGGAUGCGGUAAAGAGGUUCUCUGACCAAUUAUCCGCCACCUCCCUCAUGACCUGGUAAAAUAGACUGACUCUCGAUAUGUUAUUGGCAGAAGAGGGCAGUGUAGGUAGAAUGAUUAGGUUCAUUGCUAUACGUACAUUCCUGAUAACACAGCCCAUGUUUGGGAAAUGGAAAAGUGUUGUAAGAACUGUAUUAUGGGCUGCUUUCACCUGUAUGAGUGUGUUUGUAUUGUGUGGAUGUUGUCUCGUCCCAUGUGUGAGAGGUUUAAUCACCAGGACUCUCGAGAGAUCGAUGACGCAGCAGUUGGAGAGAUAUGGACCGAUUCCGAGCUCCGAUCAGUGGGAUGGCGAAUGCGGGCCUCCAGGCCAGGAAGAUGGCUCCGUUUUAUUUUUUAGAUGCCAAUGUUUGAUGAAACAAUUUUCAACGUUUAGAUUGAAUUUUCAACGUAUUGAUAGACUGUUCCUUUAAUGAAAAUGAUGAUGAAAAUCCUGAAUCAAAGUGUCAUAAUUGGAAAUAGGCCUAGGACUUUCAUUGAUGGGUAUAGGAGGAAUAUUCAUGUAUUGGUUUUGUUUAAUCCUUGUAUCACAAUUAAGUUCCAUAUAGCGUGUGAUUAUUUGUAUUUCCAUAUAGCGUGUGAUUAUUUGUAUUUCCAUAUGGCGUGUGAUUAUUUGUAUUUCCAUAUAGCGUGUGAUUAUUUGUGUUUACAUAAAGCAUGUGAUUAGUAGGGUUCUCAUAUAGCAUUUGAUCAUCAUGGUGAAUUAUUGAAUCAUUUAAGGGUGGAAUUGAUAAGAGAAUUAUCUAAUAAAGGUAAAUGAAUCAAUAAACCAUGAUGAAUUAUUAGUCAUACUGCAUGGUUAAUGAAUAAUUAAUGUAAUGAUCAAUGUAGGGAUCAAUUGGUCUGAUUAGUUCCGGAAAGUCCAGGAACCACUGGAGAGGGAAAGAAAUGUGUGUAUGCAAUUAGUAUAGAGAGCUACAGAAGCAGAUGGUCAAGGGAGUAAAACUUCAAAGAGUUCCUAACCUUGAAGGAAAGGAACAGGCUGAGCCAGAAUGUGAUAAACAGCGUGAGAAGUCAAUGGGGG
rnacentral:lncRNA from 1 species